UGGCCGAUUGAGCAUUGCCAUUGACAUGAGCAUUCAAUAUUUGCUUAUGUGUGAACAUGCAAGAUUCACAAAAGCUUUUGGCUCAAGGGAAAAAUGAUUCUAGUCUGGCCUGGCCCAUGUCCCAUUUUCAGUCUGGCUUUACCCCGCUAGCCUGCUUCUGUUGGUUCACAGAAAUGAACAAGAAAUAAGGCCAUGUGUAACGUUAAAACUAGGCCAGUAGAACACUGAUGUCUAUAUGAAGAGAGGAUGUGCAAACAUGUUCCAGGAUCUGAUAGCCUGUAAAUUGGGAGUAGGGACACUAAGGU